rnacentral:lncRNA from 1 species
UUAUAAUGUAAAUGACAAAAAUUAAUCUAAGAAAAUAAUGAGAAUUUUCGGAAACACUAUGACUGCUGUCAAGACCCUAAACAGAAACGACUACUCCGCUUUAUGUAUUAAUACCAGGACUUACAGAAACUCAGGUAUCAUCAAUUCACGCGCGGUCGUAAACAAAUAAAAAAAAAAAACAAAAUCCAAACAACCAAAUUAAGACCGCAGUUACAGCUCAGCACCGGAAAACCAAAUUAAUAUAAAACAGAGGAUAGAAGACAUGUGUACACGCGCCACAGUGAGAAAACAAAAUCCUGGAAAGCAAAGCACAUACGCGAAUUCAUAAACAAGCUGUGGAAUAAACAAAAUUUUAGCUGUCUGAUCUAUUUAUAUUUCACCGGAAUCAACUAGAUUUCGCCGGAAAAUUGGUUUGACCGGAAAAUAUAGCUAUUCCAAUUAUUUCUAAUCAAACCCCACUAACCUCUAAACCAAAUUCAACACCAAAUUUUACACUAAAUAACCCCUAAACUACCCAUUUUUGACUCAAGCAAGACUCAAAUUAAACCAUAUCAACUCCAAACUACACCAAAUUUCAAAUCUAGCCUAAACAUAAUAUUUCUAACAUAAACCCACUAACCUCAUUUCGAAAUCACAAAUUAAAAUUUACACCAAAAAGCCCCCAAAAAUACUAAAACCAAGAACAAGAACAAUACCAAAUCCUACCAAACUAACUCCAAAUCAAACAAAACUUCAAAACUAGCUUAUCUACCAUGUAUCUAACAAAACCCCAUCAAACUACAAGCUAAAAUCAAAAUAUAGAAUACUAAACCAUUGAACCCACUAAUAAUAUUGAGAAUUAAAAGGGGCUCAAUCUAAAUACUAAAAAAUGCAAGCUUAAAACAUAUAAUUAGGCUCCUUUCAAUCCACAAGUAAUUUUGAAUCUCAUGUGGUUAGAGAAAGAUUUCAUAGCCUAGAAGUAAAAGUAAAGAGCAAGAUUUAAGAACACAAAUGAAUUCUUGUAUUGAUAUAAUAAAAGUGUUUACAAAUUUAGAGUGCUACUACUAGAUCUACUACAUAAAAGAGAGGCUACUAAAAAUAUGAAAUCCUAGGUAGGUUGAAACAUGAUGGGGAGGUGUGUAUUUAUAGGGGGAAAUUAGGGUAGAGGGGGGUGUAGGUGUCCCAUCUAGAUGCUUCCUUGAGAAUAUUCCCCUAUGAUCCUUUUCUUCCAUCUUUUUCUCUUUUUUGCUUUAUUCUUUUAUUUCUUCAAGCAUUUGCAAUAUUCCUACAAAAAAGACAAAUAAACAAAUAAAUAAGUGAGAACAAGCAAUAAUUAGGCAUUUAAAAUAUACCAAAAUAUGCACUUAUCAAACUUCCCCAUACCUAUAUUUUGCUCGUCCUCGAGUAAAAUCAAAAGAAAAGAAAAUAAACUAAGAAAACUAGAUGCGAUUCCUAGGCUCCUUUUCGUAGGCGUGACGGGUGAUUUUAGGUUCACCAACCCGUUAAACUCGUAGACGAUCUCUACAAGAGGAGUUUUGUCUCCUAAGGGUUUACAGAAGAUAUACCCAUAAAAUCUUUGAGACAUUCUAGCAAGUGUCUACUCGACUCUACUCUAAUUUCGUUGGUGUUAACAAAAAGCGUUUUUAAGGAAAAUACGACUUAAAGACUCAUCUACUAAUAAUCAAGGGGUUUUAUAUCAAAGUGCCCACCGAACUCGUUAAAAUGUAUCAAGUACCUACCUAAUUUCCACGACGACUCAAUUACAAUACUAAAAUCAUUAUAUAUAUCAUGCUGUUAAUUUUUUUUAAUCCCUUAACAGAAAACGUUAAGUCUAACGCUUCUUUUUGCUGUGUUGGCAGACACAUGGAAUAAAAUGGGUCAACAAAAAUAAAAACAAAAAUACAUGCAAUAUACACACACCUGAUCAAAUUCCACUUAUUCGCUCUCUCUUGGGAUAAAACCUCUGGUGGUUUGAAGGUGCUCUGAAGCUACAUCGGUGAUCUUUGAAGGUAAUUAUUCAUCUUUGAAGCUUUGUUUAGUCCAUUAAUUCGAUUACUCAAGGUAUGCUUUAGGGGUUUAUUAGGUUCAGUGAGUUCAUUUGUUGUGGCACUUUACUAUAUUUUGUGCUCUAUUUUUCUCCUAUCACUAUGGAUUUUGUGUACUUUUAGUGUGUUGUUUCUUUGCUAUAUAGGUCAUGUUAGUGGAUUGAAUGAAGUCAUGUGUUUGAUAUCAAAUUAAUUGAUUAAAAUUUUUAUUUGUUCAAACAGUAUGUGUAUUGUGAUACAUAUAGAGGUUAAUCAUCAUGGUGUAUUUGCUUCCCAACCUGAAUGCUAUUAUAUUGGUGGAAAGUCCACAGUGCCAGAAUCCAAAAUUUUAUCUAAAGUAACACCUCUGUUAUGCAUAAUAAGCCAAUGAAGAAAUGAGUAUCGAGGAAUUGCAAGACCAUGCGAUACACCUUUGUACCAAGAAACAGUAGUGCUAGCAUUGCGCAGGUCCACAAAUUUGAAACUUUUAUCGCCCCAAAUCGAAUGCCAUCCCAAGAGAUUUCAUCAUUUUUUUUGUUUUUAUUUUUAUUUACCCAUCUUAUUUCAGGUGUCUGCCAACUCAGCAAAAACAAUGAUAACAAGAGUUAACACUUAACGGUUUCUGUUAACAGAUUAAAAAAAGUUAACAGCAUGAUAUAUAUAAUGAUUUUAGUAUUGUAAUUGAGUCGUCGUGGAGAUUAGGUAGGUACUUGAUACAUUUUAACGAGUUCGGUGGGCACUUUGAUAUAAAACCCAAUAAUCAAGAUACAGUUGUCUCUAAUCUACUUGCAUCGACACAAAGAUUUACUAGAAAUCCAAGGAGUGUAAGUAAUUUAAGGCCUUUGAUGGAUCCUAAUCGUCUAAGAACAUUUUCUCUUUUUCAACCAAUUUUGAACUGACCCAAUCUCUAUCGAAACAAAUAUCUAGCCAAACUUCACAAACUCUUAUUCUUUUUUUUUUUCUCUUUUUUUUUUUGCAUUGACUUUAUUUUGUCCGUUUUCUUAGGCAAACAAUGUUACCCAUGUAGCGAGCUUUAGGUCAGUGACUCCCAAACCAAACGGUCUUAGGGCACUAGGUUUUGAAAUCCCCCUACGGACUUAAUUGCUCGAGUAACAAAGGCCACAAAACGAGACUAGCCAAUCUACUUUUGCCCAUUUAUCUAAAGAUUUUAUCCAUAAAGAACAAUGGGUAUUGAAGUAGUUAUUCCUUUUCUUUUUCUAUCUCUUUUUCUUGUUUUUCUAUUUUUUUUUCUUUUUCUCUUUUUUUAUUCGCAAAGGUUCGAAUCGACAUUGUUUCAACAUGUGGGUUCUCUCUCAGGUAUCGAAUAAUAUCACUAUACAAUCUCUCCAUCAAAGGUCUUGUGCAAAUGUGUGUGCCAUCUUGGAAUGUAAAGUACAAUUCGGUCGAUACAAGCUUCAAAACGACAACCUUACUCAACUACGUUCAAAUUAUCUAAAAGACACUACAUAUAUAUUGUUUUCGAAAACAUGCUAACACCAAUUACUCCUAAAGUUCGAGUGAGGGAAAGACAACUUAGCUAAAACAUCUCUAUUUUUGGAUUUUUCUAAUUUUUUCAUUUUUUAGGGUUUUUUCAUUUUUUAGAAUUACACUAAAGCCCUCCCCAUACCUAAAUCAUGCAUUGUCCUCAAUGUAUGCAAAAGAUAGAAUUGAAAUGAGAGAGUAAAGAGAAAAAUACCUGAAAUGGAUAUGAAGGGGAUUUUUAUUAACAAACGAAACACUAACACGACCUACGCACGCCACAUUUCCUUCCCCAUACCUGAACUUCAUGGGGGAAGGUUCGAAGACGGAAGCAAAUCAGCCAAUUCCGGAAGGAAAAAUGGGAGGAAGCUUCGAGAAAGAGUCAAAAUGUGUACGAGAAUUUUUAGGCACAAAAACUUUCUCUAGCAUGUGACAAUCAUUCAUCCCUAUAGGACAAGUGUCACUAAUGUUCUUCCUAAACCAACUUAAUGCUUCUUUAUUAUCAAGCAAAUUAGAGAUUAUGCAAUUUUGGUCAUAGGAAAAAUCGCUAGGAACGAUGUAAGAAACGACGUCAUCAUUCCCUAAGGCGCUAUGCGAAUGAUGGAACAACGAGUCAAAUGUAGGUGAUUCACCUACAUGACUCUCGAAAUUGGGCCUAGGGUUAACACUAACAAUCUCGGGUGGAGUCUCCCAUUUUGAACAAAUGUCGUUCAAUUCUCCUAACAACUCCUCCGAGGUUAACUCUCUCAAAGACUCAUGAUAUUCCCUAUUAUUCUCAUGGUUGACUUUGAAAUCCUCAUUCAAAAGAGACUCAAUCUCACUAUCCUCGAAACUAGACCAUGUGACAAACUUGUUGACCACAUUAACCCCUAUAGGUAGCUCAUAAAGCUCAUUGGGUUGUUUUCCUACAUUGAAAAUGUUUAAGUCUAUGGUCAUGUUUCCAAAAGUGAGUUUCAUCGAACCAUUCCUACAAUUAAUUAAGGCAUUGGAUGUAGCAAGAAACGGUCGUCCUAAAAUGAUAGGAAUUUGGUUCUUAGGAUUCGAGACGGGUUGAGUCUCGAGAACAACAAAGUCAACGGGAAAGAUAAAAUCACCGAUUUUGAUCAACACAUCCUCAAUAAUCCCCUUUGGCAUUUUAAUAGAACGAUCGGCAAGUUGAAGGGUCAUAUUGGUGGUCUUGAGAUCCCCUAAACCUAGGGCUUGGUAGACCGAGAAAGGAAGAAGAUUCACACUCGCUCCUAAAUCAAGUAAAGCUUUAUCCACAAAAGUAUUGCCUAUGACACAAGAAAUUGUAGGACAACCGGGGUCCUUAUAUUUCACGGGAAUUUGAUUCGAGAGAAUCGAGCUUACUUGUGAGGUCAAAAAGGCUUUCUUAGGAACAUGGGUGGUUCUCUUAUGGGUACACAAAUCUUUUAGACACUUAGCAUAAGAAGGAACUUGUUGAAUGGCAUCUAAAAGAGGAAUGUUUAUCUUGACUUGUUUGAAAACCUCUAGAAUUUGUUCCAUUUGGGCCGAUUGUUUAGGGCGAAUGAGUCUUUGUGGGUAAGGAACCUUUGGCUUAUAAACUUCUUCGUUGGGCUUUUGAGAAAUGGGCCCAGGACUAGGUUCACUCAUAGACUCACGGACUCUAGAACAUUCGGGCUUAUCAUGAUUAGUGCUAGACAAAGAAGGAUUUGUUUUAGGAAUCGACUCCUCAUUUUCAUUAACGUUCUCACCAACUUUGUUAUCCACUUGGUUUCCCGACCUUAGAGAAAUAAUCGCAUUAACAUUCUCGGGAGGUCUUUGAUUGAGAGGAAACUUAGGAUUGACCUCGGGUUGACUUGGCAACUUGUUCUUCUCUCGCUCACACAACGCGCUAGCUAAUUGACUCAAUUGGGCCUCUAACUUAGACACGGCUUGCACAUUAGAAUGCAAAAUUUGCCUAUCUUGGGUUAGGGUUGUCAUGAAAGUUUGUUGUGAUUGAGUCAAAUUAGUUUGCGAUUUCACUAAGGCUUCCAAACUCUUUUCUAAGGAAUUGAGGCGUUUAUCCGAAUCAUUGAAACCGGGAGGAUUCAAAGGAGUUUGAAUUGGGUUAUGACAUGAAUUUGGACCUUGAUUUGGGUAAGAGUUUGGGUUGGGCCUUUGUUGAAAAUUUGGUUGAGGAGUUGGAAAAGAAUUUGGCCCUUGAUUUUGAAAAAUUUGACCUUGGGUCCAUGAGAAAUUUGGGUGAUUUCUCCACCCGGGAUUAUAAGUGGGUGCAAACGCAUCAUUCCUAGGAUUUUGAAACAUCGCAUUUACUUGUUCAAGUUCGUGCGAAGGUUGGGUUCCGGGAUUUUGAAAAUUGUAAUUAGGGAGCAUCGACAUUUGUGGGGGAGAUUUACUAGUUUCUAAAGCUUCAAGUCUCCUAGUUAGGGUGGCUAGUUUGGCAUCGGUUGCCACAUUAUUUCCUAUCGAAUGCAAGCCCCUAGCGCUAGAUGACUGAAUUGACUUUUUGGGCUCCCUAGUUGACUCCCACAUCAUAGUCUUUUCCGCUAAAUCCUCAAAAAAUUCCCACCCUUGGUCCUCAUCUUUUUCCAUGAAUUUACCUUGGCACAUAGACUCUAAUAACGCGGUGGUUUGACUAUCUAAGGCCUCGUAAACUAUCUUGCAAAGUCUCCAUUUUUCUAUUCCGUGGUGGGGGCAUUGUGAGAGAAGAUUUUUGAAGCGGUCAAAGAAAAUCCAAAAAGACUCAUUUUCCUUUUGAUGAAAUUGAUUUAUUUCAUUUGUAAUUCGAGUAGUCUUAUGAUUUGGAAAAUACUUUUUUAGAAACACCACAACGAACCCCUCCCACGUGGAAAUAGAAUUAACGGGAAGACUAUAUAACCAUUUUUUCGCAUUCUCCUUAAGCGCAAAAUUAAUGAGCCUAAGUCUAAUCGAAUCUUCCGUUAAUUGGUGGAGCUUUUGGAGGGAACAAACUUCCUCAAAUUCUUGGAUGAAAAGAUAAGGAUCUUCACCCUCACUCCCUAAAAAUUUAGGCAACAUACUAAUGUGAUGUGCUUUAAUCUCGAAAUAAUUCCCAUUGACGGGAGGAAGGGUGAUACACGAAGGUUGAAUUGAACGGGAUGGGUAACAACGGUCUUUAAGAGACACGGCCAUGUUAACUAUCGGUUCGCUAGCUUCUAUGGGUUCGGAGUCCGAAGAGGAUGACGAAGGAAUUUCCAUGAUCGGUCUAACUAAUCUAGACGUUUCGUUCCUAACCCAAGUAGUUCGCAUAAACAAGAUAGUAAACACGUAGCAAAUAAGUGCUAAAAAUUAAAACACACAAAAGAAAGGGUGUAAAAACGAAAUGAAAAACCUAAUUCUAUGGUUGCCUAAUAAAAUGACUAGACCUUGCUCCUAACCGUAAGUACCACCAAAAACUCGAUAAAUCAAAAAUUAUUCGGACCGGUUUGGCCAGUUUGGAGUAGGCAUUGCCAAGAGGCCAAUCUCCGCGCUUAGACACCAAACCUUAAUCGGCCAGGUAAGCUUUCGCUAGCCUUAGACACCGAAGAGUCGGAAUAAUUAAUGAUUACCUCGUUCUUUAGGUCCUUCCUAAUUGAGCGCGAAAUCCUAGGGGCUAACGUCUAAUUCAAUUUUAUUAAAGGCUUGGGAAAUGCAAAAUGAAGAAUUAAAUUGUUGUGGGCCAAGGAAAGAGUGAUGAAAUCCCUUCCCUUAUCUUAUGAGUGGGUUUUGCCCUUAAGAUUUAUUUAAAAUGAUGCACCACACAACGAGAUAAUAAAAGCGGUAAACAAAUAUGGAUGAUUUAAACUACGUGUCCUAAUCUAGAGAAAUAAAGAAAUUAACGUACCUUGGGGUCCUCCAGCGAUCACCACAAUUUAAGGUACGAAAAUUUAAAAACAAAAAUUAAAAUCUAGAUAUUGUGCUCCUAAGUGUUAAAAUGCAUGAUGCAACAAUUAUGUAAUUUUAGCUAAUAUUUUUGGAUUUUAAUAUUUUUAAUAUUUUUAUGAUUUUUUAAUUUUCAAUUUUUUUUGUGAUUUUCUAAAUAAAAAUAAAUUGAAAUAGGAGAGAGAUACAAGUUACCCAAGCAAGCUUCCAAUACUCCAAGAAUAUUCUCCACUUAUUCCAAGCUAGCUCAUAUUCCUCCAAUUUCUAAAAUUCAACCAAAAAGAAGUUAGAGAAUAAUAAUAAAAAACUAAUCCGAAAAAUUAAAAAUUAAGGCGCGAAAAUUAAUUUUAGUCCCCGGCAGCGGCGCCAAAAACUUGAUGUGCUAAAAAUAUUACAUUUAAAUCGCAAGCGCACGAUCACCGUUUUAAUAUUUUAGAUUCGUCCACAGAGAUUAAAAUUAUUUUUCGCAAUCCUUUAAUAAUUAACCUAGGCGAAUUAGAACAAUAUUUUUUUGUGAAAUUUGGUUUCAAAAUUAAAUCUAAAACUUUCCGAUUAACUAAUUAAAUCAUUGGCCAAAUUUUUAACUAAUUAAUUAUUCUAAAUUAUCUAGAAAAAUUAUAAACUAACUAAAAUAAGGAGCAUCUUGGCAUGAUUCAUUUAUAAGUCGCACACUCAAAACCACAAAACAAAAAGUAACUAGCAGGAUUCAGUUGAUUUAAUCCGAGUAGCCACAAACAAAUGAACAAUUCUUUAUAGGAAAACUACAUAGCACUAACAAAGAACUUCAGCCAAAUAAAACAAAACAAAACGGAAACAAAAAAAUAAAGCAAGACAAAUAGGAAGCACGUUGAUAAAUCAGCAGAAACCAAUUACGAAACACCUACACUACAGAAAUAAAACCCAGCUCGCGACCAUAGUCACAAAACAGACUCAAACCUCUAUACUAACAACUCGGAACUCCUGUGCUCAUCCUAACAAAACUAAACCUACCAAAACACACCAAAAACAAACUUCCAAAACGCAGCAACUCACUGAUUUGUGACUCAACUAAAGAAGAAAGCAGAGCAGGGCCAAAACUCGGCAGAAUAAAGUGAAAACAAAGAGAAAUUGCUCAAAAUAAUCAUCCAUUCACAGCCUGGACUCAAACUAAAACAGCUCGACUCCAGACUCAAACAAAUCGCAGCAAAAACUACUCAAACUCGAACUAGCGACUCGGAGAGGGAAGACACGACUCAGUACAAAACAUACAACUCAGCUGCGCAAAUACAGAAACAAAACCAGUAAUGAAACCUGAGACUCGAUUUCUAUGACUAGAAGAACAGACUCGGAACGAACUCAACGCAGCAAUCGACAAACAGACUCGAAACAGAAGAAAUUAUGAACUCGGCACAAAUUAAACAACACAACUCGGUGAAGACUCGUGCGAAAACAAAAUAAAAACUCUGACUCAGAACAGCGGAACUCGACUCUGUUUACACAACACCCAGGCGACUCGGCGAGCUCGGACAGAACUCGGUGCAAAAUAGAACAGUAAAGCGAAGCAAGAAAGAAGCAAACAAACCUAGCCAAUACAUACAAUCUAACAGAAAUCGACUCAGUAGCGACUCACCAAAAACAGGAUUGAACGACUCAACUAAACGAAACCAGAAAACACUCGGCUACAGCUACAAAACGCAACUCGGGAGAUGACUCAACUGACUCGAAAACUCUGUGAAAUCGGUGUACAGCGAAAUAGACUCGUAAACAAAAGCAAAGAAAGCAAAAACAGAGGAGGUAGUCGACUGUGUGUAAAACAAUGGACAGGGGAGGGGAGUUUGACUAAAACGAAAAUAAAAACUGGGGAAAGGGAAAUGGGUUUUAGACAUUAAAACAAAUAUUCUUCACUCGAAUACAUAAUUUAAGAUUAUAGCUGCUGAGAUUUUAUGAAAACAAAACUGAAAUCCUGAAUUAGCACUAAUAUAUAGUAGCUUUUAAAUCUAGAUUUUUAACCCCCACACAAAUUAUUUUUGUGCUAGAGCUUUUACCUUCUUCUUAAAAAUUAAAACUAAAAAGUGAUAGUUCUACACUAAUCACAAGGUUGAUGAUUCUUCAUUUCCCAAAAGCUUAAAAGCAUGUGGUGGUACUUAGAAGAGUCAUUCAACUUGGAGAACAUAAAUUAAAAAGACAAUACAAUAUUAAGCCAAAAGAAAUUUGCAUAGAAAUUAAAAAGUGUUUACAAAUAUGGUAUGAAAUUGAGAGAACAAAAGAAGAUCUAGCACUAUACUACCUACCAACUAGGAAAAGACUAGGUUAAAAAGAUUAUAAUUACAAGUAAAGGGGUGGGGGUAUUUAUAGCUAAAAAUGUAGGGUUUAGGGGUAGGGUGGCUAAAUCUAAUCCAUCCAUGUGGGAUGUGUGUUGGGUAGAUCAUAGCCUUCCAUGUGUCCCCUUACUUGCCAACUUUCUUUGAUUUUCUUCUUUUCUUUUCUUUUUCUCCCUUUUUCUUGCAUUUUCUCUUCUUUCUUUAUUUAUCUACAAUUUCCUGAAAUAAAAUAAAUAAGCAAUUAAUACUACGAAAAUAAACAAAAGAUAGGCACUUAAAUAUGCAAAAAUAUGGACUAAUCAAGCUCACCUUUCACAAUCAAAGAUUGUUCAUCAUUUACGGGUUUACACUUUCGGCAUGUCUAUAGCUGGUAUCCGGCAUGUAGAUAGCUGGG